CCCUCCAACAAAGGUGUGUCUUUUGUUCCCUGACUUUGGACCCCUAAGAAUGGGAGGCAAAGAAAUGAGGAUUUGGAGACAUAUGGGGCCAACUUACUCUCCACAGUCUCAAGAUCAAGUGUUCCACAUUU
ensembl:snoRNA